rnacentral:tRNA from 1 species
CGGGCGGGUGCCGGGGCGGCGGACCGGUUCGGCCGUGACCUGGCCGCCCUGCACGCCACCGGGGCGCCGGCGUUCGGCGCCGCGCCGCCCGGC